GACGAACGCUGGCGGCGUGCCUAACACAUGCAAGUCGAACGGAAAGGCCCUGCUUUUGUGGGGUGCUCGAGUGCCGAACGGGUGAGUAACACGUGAGUAACCUGCCCUUGUAUUUGGGAUAACUCCACGAAACUGGGGCUAUAACCGGAUAGGAGAUCCUGCUCCGUAGGGGGGGUUGGAAAAUUUCGGCGUUUCGGGCUGGACUCGCGGGUUACCAGCUGGAUGGGGGAGUAGGGGUUUACCAAGGCUUUGACGGCUAGCCGGCCUGAGAGGGUGACCGGCGACAUGGGGCCUACGGGAGGGACCAGACUCCAACGGGAGGCAGCGGGGGAGAGUCUUACACAGUGGGCCGAAGCCAGAUGCGGCGGCCCCGGGUGCGGGAUGCCGGCCUUCUGGGUGUGAACCGCUGUCGCCUGUGACGAAGCGUGAGUGACGGUAAUGGGUAAAGAAGCACCGGCUAACUACGUG
rnacentral:rRNA from 1 species